UGGGGUGCUCGAGUGGCGAACGGGUGAGUAACACGUGAGUAACCUGCCCUUGACUUUGGGAUAACUUCAGGAAACUGGGGCUAAUACCGGAUAGGAGCUCCUGCUGCAUGGUGGGGGUUGGAAAGUUUCGGCGGUUGGGGAUGGACUCGCGGCUUAUCAGCUUGUUGGCGGGGUAGUGGCUUACCAAGGCUUUGACGGGUAGCCGGCCUGAGAGGGUGACCGGCCACAUUGGGACUGAGAUACGGCCCAG
rnacentral:rRNA from 1 species